UUCCAGACCAUGGAAGGAAAGGAAAAGGGGGGUGUUGUACAUCUCAAGGGCCCUGCUAGACACGCUGAGGCAUUCAGUGAUACAGGAAUUUCAUACAAUUAACCAGAAUUCAUAAGUUGUACAGAGACAGAUUCCCCAAAUCAUCUCAGUUGAGUUUUUCAAGGAAUUUGGCAGAUUGCUAGGAAAGAAGGAAGUCAAAACCUUCUGAUAGACACUUCCUCUGACUGGAUACGUCUGUCAUCUUGGCUCAUGCAUAAAUAUGAGGCAACUCUUAGACAGUCCGUCUUCUUGUAGCCUCUCAUCUUUCUCUGCACUUGCCAUGGCUGGAGAAAUAGUAUAUGCAGAUUUAAACAUUCCUGGAGCUUUUUCCACUUCACAGUCACUGCAUCCAUCUCAGCAUCCCAAUAGCGCUCUGUGCCCGCGCUGGCAUAGGAUUGCUCUCUGCCUCGGAUGGGCCGGGAACAUCAUCCUGGCGGUAGCUGUGAUUGUGUUUGGUGUUUGGGGACAGACCAGAGGACAGAGAACAACAAAUGGAACUGAAUGUAAUUCCAGCCUGAAGGAUUCCCAGUCCUGCUCGAAACAAAGUUUGUAUCCAAAGCCAGACAACAACUUAACAG